UGUAGAUGCCCAUGUGUCUGUAUCCCCUGGAGAAGUAGAGCAGGUUGACCCAGCUGAGAGCCAGACACAGCACCAGAAACCCCAGGUACUCCUCCCUACCACAGCAGUACAGCACUAAGGAGGCCAGGAAGAAGAUCGCCUGCAGAAAA